rnacentral:piRNA from 1 species
AUUAAUGUAUUAUGGACUAGAUA